rnacentral:rRNA from 1 species
GAUGAACGCUGGCGGCGUGCCUAACACAUGCAAGUCGAGCGGAGAUUUAGAAGCUUGCUUUUAAAUCUUAGCGGCGGACGGGUGAGUAACGCGUGGGCAACCUGCCUCAAACAGGGGGAUAACACAGGGAAACUUGUGCUAAUACCGCAUAAGAUCAUAGUGUGACAUCCCAUAGUGAUCAAAGGAGAAAUCCGGUUUGAGAUGGGCCCGGGUCCGAUUAGCUAGUUGGUGGGGUACAGGCCGACCAAGGCGACGAUCGGUAGCCGAACUGAGAGGUUGAUCGGCCACAUUGGGACUGGGACACGGCCCAGACUCCUACGGGAGGCAGCAGUGGGGAAUAUUGCGCAAUGGGGGAAACCCUGACGCAGCAACGCCGCGUGAAGGAUGAAGGUUUUCGGAUUGUAAACUUCUUUAGUCGGGGACGAACAAAAUGACGGUACCCGAAGAAUAAGCCGCGGCUAACUACGUGCCAGCAGCCGCGGUAA